AUGGCCUCUGCCGCGCUCACCGGGCCGCUGCAGCAGCUGCUAUCCACCGCCACCACCGCCUCGCCUUGGUUGCAGUGGCAGCCACCGCUCCGCCCUGGCUGCAGUGGCAGCCACCGCUCCUGGCGACCUCCGCCGCAGCAGCCGCUGCAACUGCAGCAACCAUCGCAGGUCAGCUCCGGCCCCGCAUCGACCGCGCCGAUGGGAGUCCCGAUCCACCAGAUCAAGUUCCCGCCGUCACCAUCACCGCUUCCCCAGGGCGUCCCCAUCCAGCAGAUCAAGUUCCCGCCGUCGCCGUCACCGCUUGCAGCUUGGAUCACUACCCGCCAUGUGUCGGCGGCGGUGAGGCUGCAGGCUACUGCAUGCGGCCUCCUAGCGCGUCGGCGUGUGCGGGAGUUGCGUGGUCUACAGCUGCCGCUCCUCCCAGUUGCGCUUCGCUGCGCAAAGGACCUCGAUCUCGUCCACCGCGUCGGGGAUCUUGGGCAUGCUAUUUUCCCCACGGACAGCGCCCUCAAAGUCUGCGACAUCGGCGGUUCGGGAGGCGCACCCCUCCUCGCCAUUCUCCAUCGACAGCCCUCCACUCUUCUAUGUGCGGUGCCGACCAACAGUCAUCCGGCAGGGAGAAGGCAUGGUGUCACCGACAGGAGCGCACCGCGUAGCACCACUACAUUCCGCCACCGGCCGCCGCGAGGGCGCCUCUGCUGGUCGCUCUUGCGACCACUUCCAGGUGGCCAUAAACAUGCACUCCUUUGUCCAGAUGGUGUCCAUGGGAUCCAGGUGGCUGUACACGUGCACGUUCGACGUGCGGAUGGUAUCCACUUUUUGUUAAGAGGUCCAAAAUAA
rnacentral:rRNA from 1 species